CCCUUAGAUGUUCUGGGCCGCACGCGCGCUACACUGAUGCAUUCAACGAGCCUAUCCUUGACCGACAGGUCCGGGUAAUCUUUGAAUCUGCAUCGUGACGGGGAUAGAUUAUUGCAAUUAUUAAUCUUCAACGAGGAAUGCCUAGUAGGCGCAAGUCAUCAGCUUGCGUCGAUUACGUCCCUGCCCUUUGUACACACCGCCCGUCGCUCCUACCGAUUGGGUGUGCUGGUGAAAUGUUCGAAUCGGCCGUUUGUCGCGGUUUCCGCGGCUCGUGGCUGAGAAGUUCAUUAAACCCUCCCACCUAGAGGAAGGAGAAGUCGUAACA
rnacentral:rRNA from 1 species